GUACAGUCUGACAGAUCGUAUAGAAUACAAUCUAAUGGAGCCCACCACUUGGGGAUAUUUAUUCUUCUUAUCCUUCUCGUCCAGACCUCCGUCUCCUCUGUUUCCCCCAUUAAUAUUCUCUCUCUCUCCGUCGCCAUUGUUUCUCCUCAAGUUCUUGCGGCAGUGUAUGAGUAGAUUGAUUUGAAGCCAUGAAGCUGCCGUAGCCCAGAUAAGAUCUGAUUGGAGACCGGAAUCGUAUAAAGCUACUGACUGGGAUCUCUAGGUCCCUCUUUUUUCCAAUAUCUUAGCGGGCCAUCAAUCUGUUCGCCGCCGAGGAAAGCAAAAAAGGUUAAUAUGGAUAGUGAGAGGGACAGCAUCCCGGGCAGUUUUAUGGCACUACUAAACAUGGUUGAGCAGCCAAUGUCAAAUUUGAAUCCACAGAACAAUCUGAAGUCAGUACCCGAAGAUAGUUCUUGCUUUUCUGAUAGACCUUAUUGCUCAGAAGACAAUGAUGUACUUUCGAGACCAAACUUAAGGGUGGACACUUACGAUUAUGCUGAUGACUCAAAUGAAGUCCAGUCCCGUCUUGAAUGUAUCAAAGACACCAUUGAAAUUCCAGAUAUGAUAUCUGGGCCUGAAAAUCUAGAUCAGGAUUACUUAUUUUCUGCAUACAAUGUUCACACUGAGGAGUCUGAUUCUAAUGAACGAUACCUUGAAGGAGGACAAGUUGGAGCUGUUGAACACGGAAUUAGAAGUUUUUGUGAAGACACUUCUGUUCAAAUGUUAAGGCCGGUUGUUGGUAUGAAGUUUUCAUCAAAGGCAGAAGCAUAUGACUUCUACAAUACUUAUUCUUGGGUGCUUGGUUUCAGUAUUAGAAAUGGUGAUAAUUUUAUUAAUUCCAAAGGCGUACAAACUAUGCAGGAAUUAAUUUGCCAACGAGCCGGAAUCAACAAGACUACUAAAUAUGCCACUACUAGAUAUGGUUGCAAGGCAACACACAGGGUAAAUCUUAAUGAUAAUUCAGAAUGGUAUGUCAAAGUUUUUAGGCAGGAACACAAUCACUCCCUUGUCGAAUCUUGCAGUGAGAAAAAGCACCUGCAUUCACAUCAACAUAUUGACAAGCCAAUCAGAGAUUUAAUAAAGAAUCUUCGGGAGAAUAAUGUAUCACUCACAAGGGUUAAUUCUAUAGUAGCAGGUUUCUAUGGAUCAACAAAGAAAGUACCAUUCUGUAAGCGCAAGUUGCGUACUGUUUGUUCUCAGAUUGCAAGUGAAACCCUUCAGGACGACAUUGCUAAGACACUGGAGAAUUUCCGUGAUAUGAUAGCAAUGGACGAUAGAUUUUCUUUCUGUGCAUAGGUGGAUGAUGACAACGGGCUAAAGUCACUAAUGUGGACUACUGGGAGGAGUAGAUCAUUAUAUAAUCACUUUGGAGAUGCAAUAACUUCUGACACUACUUAUGGAACAAACAUCUACAAAAUGCCAUUUGGUAUGUUUGUAGGAGUUAGUAACCACUUUGAGAGUGUAAUAUUCGCUGGAGUGUUCUUGACUAAUGAGAAGGGAGAGAAUUUCUGUUGGGCUUUUAAGAAAUUUGUUGCUAUGAUGGGUGGAAAACACCCAGUAACUAUUCUUAUAGAUCAGGCUAGAGACAUUGGAAAUGCAGUCCGGAAAGUUUUCACUCAUGCAGAACAUAGAUGGUGCAAAUGGCAUGUUCUUAAGCGGGCUCAUGAACUUCUUGGUGCUGUCUAUAGCAAGCAGAAAACAUUUGCCGAUGAUUUCCAUAAGCUAGUGAACCACAUGCUAACUGUAGAAGAGUUUGAAUAUGCCUAGAAUUUUGUUACGGUAAAAUAUUGUUUGCAGGAACAUCCUUUUAUGACUAGAGCCUACGAGUGUAGGCACAAAUGGGCUAAACCAUAUUUUAGCAAAGUUUUCUGUGCUAGAAUGUGUAGCACUCAACGUAGUGAGUGUGCAAACUUUAUGCUGAAGAUACAUACUGUAUGCAAUUCUUCAAUAAAUGCAUUCAUUACCCAGUACACUAAGCUUAUAGACGAUCGUGAGAGUUGUGACGCAGAUGCCGAAAGGAAAAACAAACAGAAAAUAAUUAAGGUCCAUUUUGGAUAUCCAAUGGAGAAGCAUGCUUCAGUUAUCUAUACUGCAAAGGUUUAUAAUCUAUUCAAGAAGGAGCUCAUUAAGUCAACAUCAUACCUUGUGCUUCCUAGCAUGGAGGAACAUACUUUUGUUGUGAAGCACGUCCAGGCCGAGUCUAGGGAAUCGUGGUCAAAAGUAAUAUACAAAAUCAAAGUAGACGAGUCUAUUGGAUAUUACACUUGUGAAUGUGGACUUUAUGAACAUUUUGGUGUUCUUUGUAGCCACGUCCUAGCGAUUUUUGUGAACCGAGGUGUCUGCAAAAUUCCAGAUUUGUCAUAUAAUGAAGCGGUGGACAAAGCAAGCAAGGUCAUCUAGUUUCAACAAUAAGUUGGAGAAAUAUAUCGGCGACACGAACGAGGAAUCGAGAUCAUUUAGGCACAAGCUAUUAUAUUUUGCUGCAAUAGAUAUAGUGAAUGAAGCUAAAAAUGAUCAAGAUGCUUUUGCAAUUGCAAAGUCUAAUUUUAGUCGCUGCAAGAAGGAAUUACAUGAGCACAGACUUUCAAAGACAACUACAUGCCAGGUCGGAUAUGGAUCAAUCCCUGAACAUGAAGUAACUACACAUUCUGGUGUUCAACAGGAAGUCAAUGAAGUUGUUGAUUCAGAUCUUCAAAUAGUUGAUACCGCAAACAAUAUUUCAAUUCCAGUUUCUUCAAUUCUUGCGCCUGCUAUAAUGAAGAAGAACGGUAGACCUUCAAAUAAGUGGUACAUGUCUAGCAUGGAAGCAAACAUCAAGAAGAAGAAACGUGGGAAAACACCGGACCAGAAGACCAAACAUCCGGGUGGUGUGUUGGGUGUUGUCCAGUCAAGGUUUUGCAGCAAAUGUCGAUCGCCAACACACACAAUCAAAAAUUUUCCUCAGUUAUAUUUACCUUAAUGUUAUUUGUUUUCGUUUUGUUGUUGCAAUGAAACUAGUAAUGAAGUGUGUACUGAUUGGAAACUUAAAUGUAUGAAUCCCUGAACUAAUUUUCUUGUUCUUACCGUUGUUAUUUAUAAUUGCCUUAGUAUUAUGUCGUUAAUUAAAGUUUAACACAUCCUACAUAUUUGGAUUAACCUGAACGUUUUAAUGGUGUGCUUUGUUUUUUGAACGAUUUGUCAUUAUGCUAUAGCGCC
rnacentral:rRNA from 1 species